AAGACGCUCCCGGCGCCUUCCGCCCCUCCGCGAGCCUCAGGCGCCACCGCCAUCUUAGGACGGAGUAAUCACCGCCGCUUUUGCCCACCGGAGAAUAACCUCUGGCGCCAUCUUGAUUAGGUCAAUAUUGUCUUUGGUCUUGCUGGGCAGGCUUGCUGUUUCUACCAUCUAGAUGUAUCGUCGUCCGUGGUUAUUCUCGUUCCUAUAAUUUCCGCCUCCAUGUUGGAUUAAAAAAAUGAUUCUUUCAUUCUCUCUUGUCAUCGUGACUUCUCCCAGUGAUCCUAUCUUCUCCCCUAAUGCGGCCCCGAGUAACCUCCCGUUUUGGGUCAGGUCAAUUGACGCACAUUUCAUUUCCCAUCGUACCCAGAGGCCGGCGGGAACUGCACUUUAUGUUAUCUUGUAGCCGUCAGGGUCUCAAGCAAAAGAACAGGUUGACUUGGUCUCGGGAAAUGGCUCGGACUCCGUCUUGGAGGAAUCCCUGGAAAAGAUUAAACAAACAAGGCCCGAAGGUUUUUUGCAGCUCCUUGGACAAUACCAGAUUGGUUGGCAUUGAAACAGCAGGAUUCGUCUAGAAAAAGGCAUAGACUUCUCUUCUCUGCAGUGGAGAAAGGGGGCUCCCCGAAUCUGGAAAACAAAAUAGAUUCUUCCGUUGAGCCCUCAGAAAGGAUUGCAGGCCUACCAACAUCUUGAUUUUACCCCAGUGAAUCCUCUGUUGGACUGCUGACGUAUAGAACUAAGUUUUAUCAGUUCCUUGAGGGUAGAGGAUAUUUCUAACGCAUCUUAGCAUCUCCCGAGUGCUAAAAGAAUAGAGCUUUCCAUAAGUAUCAGAAUAUUUACAAUAUUGUUUGAAUACUCAAGACAUGGGGGGACUCCACCAUCUGUUCUCUGAUAACAGACUUACUAUGAAACAGGAAUGAUGGUUUCCUGAGAACAAAUGCUUCAAUAUCAAGACAUGCAAAGAUACCACUUGGCUGCCAAUAACAAACUGCUCCAAAGUUACAAAUGCAGACCAAGUGUUGAUUCUACCCCUUUCCUAAGGUCAAUGGAAUGAAAGACUAGGAUAAGAAACUAAAGCAUAACCAGUGCUUUCCAGCCCUGCACCCGAAGCAUCUUCUGAGGUAUCCAGAUGCUGUGCAUCCAGGGAGCAGAUGUCACCACAAACUGGCUACUGAGAGAGGAAGGAAAUAGCCUGUGCAAAGGCAACAGCUGGCACUUACCUGCUGGACCUCAAUCUGUGCUGGAAAAGCCAUUUCCUCCUGAAUUAACUUCACACACUAAAGCAUUUCAGGCAGGCAAGUAUACUUCAGUUAAAAAAAUUAUUUCAAAAGUAAAGAAUUUCAGGGUACUAGGGAAUCAUACAGAAAAUGUGUAUAUGUGUGGUUUAAGCAGAGACCUACUCCUGUAUCCACAGUCACUUUCCUGUAUGUCACAUCCAUCUUGGCCAUAGAGUCCUUUCAUGCACUCUGGACAGGCAUUCCAUCUCGCUCUGUCCUCUGGUCAUCCACUCUCUCACAUACACACUGUGCAGUGUGGUUAUGCCCCUGGCCCUCUGGCCCACAGUGAAGCUAGAUCACUCUAAAAGGAAUCCAGGAGGCCCCAGGUGGAGGUGAUGAAGAAGAAGGUGAGGGAUGAUGACCCACUGUGUGCAGAAGCACUGUGGCCUUGCAGAGAAUGCCCUGGCAGACAGACCACCUGGCAACUUGCACACUAUUCUGGGAGAAGCUGUUACUGGUGACAUCAUUAUCUGUUCUGCUAGCUGGAGUGUGGGGAGACCCAGCUCUUCCCAGGGGAGCUUACCCUGACCUCAGGAAUGGCUCAGAGGUGGUGUCAGCCAGAGCAGCCCUCUGUACUGAGUCCACAUCAGACUAGACUACUUCCUAACCAGCCCUUCUCAACUCCCCAUUGUCUUCAUCCAACACAGACUAGCUUGCCCUAGGCUGGAGUCUCUAAACUCAGAUGGUUCAUUCCUAACAAGGGACAGGUUAGUUCUCUAAUCACUGAUUAUGCUGUGACCUUGUACAAGUCAGUUCCCCUCUCUGGGCCUUAGAGUUGGACCAGAAGAUUCGAAUCUCCCUGCAGCUCUAGUCUUCUACAGACUGGGGGCAGGACUGUCUUCAUUUGUAUGGUGUAGAAAAGUGAAGUCUUUUAACAAAAGACUUUUAACAAAAGUCUCAUUAACAAAAUGACUCAUAGGAAGCUAUGAGAACAAGGCAAAUCAAACUGUUACAUUUCAGAGGAGGCAGCAAAUAACAAAUAGACCACACAUUGGGGGAAAUUUUCCAUCAGAUGGAGCGAUAGACCAUAUAAUUCCUAAAACAGGGAGAAAUGUAAGCACUCGAUAAGCAAAAUCUUAAAAAUAACCUAUACAUCAGAAGUCAAUCUUUGGAAGCUGAUUCAUGGAGAAAAAAAGUUGGCGGGGAAGUUAUUUAUCAGAACUGGAAAAGAACAAUAUAUGUUCUAGCUUUCCAGUUCUAUGCCUUUAAGCUGAAAAUUGGUUGCUGCUUUGCUAACCAAGAUUUUUGGAAUGUUUAAAACAUCACCAAAGGAAGUUUCAAUUCUUGAAAAUUUCCAUCCUUGUCUUGAGGAAGCCUUUUUUCUUAUUGGAGAGCAAUUGCCUACACUGGGUUUCUGUGUUCUAGGCAGGCAGAGUCUGUGUUCCUAACACAGCACAGAGUCCCUCCCCUGGGAAAGGCAGCAAGGAUGACUAACCAGCCUGGUUUCCCAGGACUGAGGGAUUGCCCACAAUGAGAGUUUUUCAGGGAUAAAGCUGAGACAGGCCCUGGAAAAUCCAGGCAAGGUGAUCCCCCUAAAGCCAGGCAGCUAUCAUGGGCCCUACCUAUACACCAACAGCCCCAAGACUACAAUUUCCCCUGAGAAUGCAUAUUAUCUAAAUGUAAUGGCCAGGAGUGCUGUAUUCCCUGGUGGCUCAGUGGCCAAGAAUCCUCCUGCAAUGCAGGAGACACAGGUUCA